rnacentral:tRNA from 1 species
GUUAGCUUAGUUAGUAGAGAGCGCUCCACUGGAAAUGGAGAGGUCCCUGGUUCGAUACCAGAAC